CCUACGGGUGGCAGCAGUGAGGAAUAUUGGUCAAUGGGCGAGAGCCUGAACCAGCCAAGUCGCGUGAGGGAGUACUGCCCUAUGGGUUGUAAACCUCUUUUGUCGGGGAGCAAAAGCCGGACGUGUCCGGCUGUGAGAGUACCCGAAGAAAAAGCAUCGGCUAACUCCGUGCCAGCAGCCGCGGUAAUACGGAGGAUGCGAGCGUUAUCCGGAUUUAUUGGGUUUAAAGGGUGCGCAGGCGGAUUUUUAAGUCAGCGGUAAAAUCGUGGGGCUCAACCCCAUCCAGCCGUUGAAACUGGGGAUCUAGAGUGUGCGAGAGGUAUGCGGAAUGCGUGGUGUAGCGGUGAAAUGCAUAGAUAUCACGCAGAACCCCGAUGGCGAAGGCAGCAUACCGGUGCACAACUGACGCUCAGGCACGAAAGCGUGGGUAUCGAACAGGAUUAGAUACCCUUGUAGUC
rnacentral:rRNA from 1 species